rnacentral:rRNA from 1 species
GAGAGUUUGAUCCUGGCUCAGGAUGAACGCUGGCGGCGUGCCUAAUACAUGCAAGUCGAGCGAAUGGAUUAAGAGCUUGCUCUUAUGAAGUUAGCGGCGGACGGGGGAGUAACACGUGGGGAACCUGCCCAUAAGACUGGGGUAACUCCGGGAAACCGGGGCUAAUACCGGAUAACAUUUUGAACCGCAUGGUUCGAAAUUGAAAGGCGGCUUCGGCUGUCACUUAUGGAUGGACCCGCGUCGCAUUAGCUAGUUGGUGAGG